GAGAAUUCAUUUUGUGAGGGGCACUAGAAGCAUCUGGAAUUUAUCAAAAGUGCAAAACCACAAAAGAGAGAGUUCAUACUUGUAAAAGGAUUAAUAAGACCAAAGUCUGCUCCACAAAAUGCAUUAAAAAAGCAACAAAAUCUUGCAAGACACUAAACUAAAAAACUCACAAUCUUAAACCAAAAAGCCACUCAAGUGUGAGGAAGAAAAUAAGAGGCAAUGACGAUAUAUAACACUAGAAAUCAGGAAGUUUGACAUGCUUCUUCUUUUCAAAUAUCAGCUUGUUGCAGCACAGGAAAUUAGAGAAUAUAUAACACUUAUUCAUAAUAGAAGGACAACAUUAUAAUAUAGAUAACAUGAUGUAUCUCCACAGAUUCAUCCAAUGACUUACACUCGCACCAAUUCAGACGCAAUAAUAAAUGUGUAGUGCAUCUAAACAUCAUUUGUGGAAAAAACAACUACCAUAGUUUCAUAUGCAUUUAAGCAAAAUUGAUUGAUACUACUAACAAUAUAAUUGUAUUCUAGAGUUUCUUAACAAGACAAAUUACAGACAAGCAUAUUCAUACAUAAGAAAUAUGAAUUUAAUCAAACAUUGAUGCAAUAUCCCCAAUUUGUUAUUGCAUGGUCCAUUUCAAGUUUCAAGCACAAGGGUUUAUCAUGUGACACAACAAAUAUACUUGGCAAACCAAGUGAAUUCGUUCAAUUGAACUAAAACAAAAUUAGUUUGGUCUUUGAAAUUUUAACUGAUAUUUUGCUUUGCUUCACAAUAAUUUUAACCACAAACAUAACUCAAGCAGUCUAUUUUCAUGGCAUUAUAAUCAAUUUACCUAACAAUUUAAACUACUAUAGUAUACAUGACAUUCAAUGAUAAAUUUUCUCAAUAUAUGCAUUCAGUCUAUUUUCACGACAAACAUAAAGACCCCACAUUCAACUAAAGUUCCGACACAUUCAAUCAUGAACUACACUACAACAUGUAUAUACACAUAAAUUUAUGUUAUUCCCUCUCAAGCAUUUUCUCAAACAUUUGGUGCACAUAAACCAAACUAAAAAUACAAAUCUUAUACCCUAAAUUUAAUUAACAUCCCAAAUUCAUGGAAUUCAAAACUUACUCAAAACCCUUGUUCAAAACAUAAUCACAAAAAAUAAUCCAAAGCAAGAAAAUGAGAGACGAGGGAGAUUAUUUUGAAAUCUUACUUGUAUGAGUGAAAGAUUUGGACGGAAAUUUCCAACCCAAACACUUUGUUCUUGUAGCGAUUUAGUGAGAUGAAUAGAAGAGAAUGAAUGAAACCCUUGUUAGCCGUUUUUGUUUGCAAUUGAAACCCUAAAAAUCACCCUUCACAGCUCUAAAAUUCAAAAUUCUUCAAAGUGAUGAAGUGGAUUUCACUGGUAUAAUGAAUGCACCACUUCG
rnacentral:lncRNA from 1 species